rnacentral:tRNA from 1 species
GCCUGGGUGGCUCAGUCAGUUAAGCGUCUGACUUUGGCUCAGGUCAUGAUCUCAUGGUUCGUGGGUUCAAGCCCCGCGUCGGGCU